UCUGCUCGCUGCUCUUCGCCAUUCUUCUCGCCUUCCUCCUCGCCAUCGCCUACUUGAUCGUUAAAGCGUUUAGUGGGCUACAGAUGGCAUGGCAUCUAAAACCUUACAAUGCUUGAUUUUCAUACAGAAGACACUUUGGCCAGUUGAUGUGGGUUUUACCUCUUCAUAAAAUGAGUUGCAUGCUGAGAAUUUGAAAAAUGAAGAUGAUGUAGACACUGGACUAUUAGGAUUCUGGACUCUACUUAUAAUAUCCCUAACUGCUGGAUUCUCCUGUUGCAGCUUUUCUUGGACAGUGACUUACUUUGAUUCUUUUGAACCAGGAAUGUUUCCUCCUACUCCUCUUUCACCUGCCAGGUUCAAGAAACUGACUGGACAUUCUUUCCACAUGGGCUAUAGCAUGGCGAUUUUGAAUGGCAUCGUAGCUGCUCUUACUGUAGCAUGGUGCCUCAUGUAAACCCACACUGG
rnacentral:lncRNA from 1 species